UGGUGGAUUUGGAAGGAGGAUGGAAAAGUUGCGUUGGUGAAUGACGGAGACGGUUUGGGAACCAUCGAGGAUGUUUUGGAAGCAAAGACGUUUGGCUGAGAAGGCUCCUCCGUGACCGAAGCAACAACAGGUGCACCGGAAGUGGCAGACAGUGGCGUGGAAAAGCGGCAUUUUGUCGGGAAGUUCGAGAUACCGGUGGACAGAACGGUCUCCCCGAAUUGGAGGCGGCUUUACCGUCACCCCGACCUAAACCACGUCAGGGAUCUAAAGGCCAAGUUCAAGACGACACGUGACAUGUCGACACGGUACUGGCUGUCCACUUUCCCGGGAUCACGCCGCAGGCCUUUGUGCCUAACGAGAGCGUCACAUGCACCACUUGUGUCGGCAUGUUUGACAUCGCGACAAAGUUCCCUUCCUGGUGGACUCGGCGAGGGAAGUUCCCUUCAGGCGGACUUGAC